rnacentral:misc_RNA from 1 species
GUAAAAAUGGCCUCAAAGGUUCUUGGCUAUCCAAAGGGUUAUAUACACUAAAAGCACUUACUCGAGCCACUGGCCUGAAAAGAGUUGGUUGCUCUUUGACUUCAUGAGUAAAUUGGCCCUCCAUGGCAAUAGGGACCUUGUCUUCAUAUUGAUCGUCCAAAUGCUCCCGUGAACAGGCAUCUUUUCCAUCCAAGGAUUUAAAGGAAUUCACAUCUCCACAUGAAAGGGUUUCUUCAGAUGAUCCCUUAGUUUUUUCUAAACUAGCAUCAUCCACCGCAUUCCCAGAUUCUAACUUGAUUCUUUCAAGCUCUGUGCAUCGACGUCGUAAAGUGGAAUUCCAGUGAUUCUUUAUAGCAUUAUCCGUUCUCCCAGGCAAGAGCCGAGCUAUU